GAGGGUAGAGCUCAAGUGGUAGAGUGCAUGCUUAGCAUGCACGAGGUCCUGGGUUCAAUCCCUAGUUAUCUCC
rnacentral:tRNA from 1 species